UACGUAGGGUGCAAGCGUUUGUCCGGAAUUAUUGGGCGUAAAGAGCUCGUAGGCGGUUUGUCGCGUCUGCUGUGAAAUCCCGAGGCUCAACCUCGGGUCUGCAGUGGGUACGGGCAGACUAGAGUGCGGUAGGGGAGAUUGGAACUCCUGGUGUAGCGGUGGAAUGCGCAGAUAUCAGGAGGAACACCGAUGGCGAAGGCAGGUCUCUGGGCUGUAACUGACGCUGGAGGAGCGAAAGCAUGGGGAGCGAACAGG
rnacentral:rRNA from 1 species